GGGGGUGACGGCGAGAAAGUGGUGGCGCGUCCGUGGCCGGGGCUGCGGCGCAGAGCCGGGGAGCGACUCCGCGUCUUUACGAUGGACGCCGGCUGGGCAGCGUGCGUACCGGUAUUAAACGUUUGUGAAUUCCGGAGGUGAGAAAUCAGUGUUUUUUUUUGGAGACCGGCUCUGCUGUGAAGAAGUUUUAAUUCGCGAUGGCGGCCGUCCCGCAGACAGGAGCGCUCAGCAAAAACACAUCGCAGCCUUAUAUCCGCUGUGCGCCGACGCCGAGAAUUCCUCCCGUUUCCCCGCUGAGUGCUCCAGGCCGGUGGGCCUGCUGCCCCCCCGUCACAGACCCAGAUAGAUCUAGAGAUAACUCCGUGACACCAUCUGACAGAAUCACAUGGAUGUUAGGAAAACUUCUGCUCCAAUAAGCAUGCUCAAUCAUCUCGAUCCCCAAAAGAGACGGAGGAGAGUCUUCAGCUUAUUUUAUUAGAAGAAAUGGAGAGUCCACUGAGGCAUACCCCUUGAUGUGCGGAAUCAAACUCUGUAACCCACGUAAGGCUAUGAAGCAGAUAUGUUUAUUACGACGCCGGGUGCGAGGGGGGUAUCUCCUAAUUCACACACCAAGGAAAGUGGUGUCUACACAUUUAUAGGCAUAGCAUGUACAUAUGAGCACGCGUCCUAGAAUGUGG
ensembl:lncRNA